rnacentral:rRNA from 1 species
UACGAAGGGGGCUAGCGUUGCUCGGAAUCACUGGGCGUAAAGGGCGCGUAGGCGGGCCUUUAAGUCGGGGGUGAAAUCCUGGAGCUCAACUCCAGAACUGCCUUUGAUACUGAGGGUCUUGAGUUCGGGAGAGGUGAGUGGAACUGCGAGUGUAGAGGUGAAAUUCGUAGAUAUUCGCAAGAACACCAGUGGCGAAGGCGGCUCACUGGCCCGAUACUGACGCUGAGGCACGAAAGCGUGGGGAGCAAACAGG